CGUCUGGAGGGGAGAGUGGCGAACGGGUGAGUAACACGUAGGUGACCUGCCUCAAAGACGGGGAUAACCACUGGAAACGGUGGCUAAUACCCGAUAGUCUCGGUGAUUCGGUUCACCGUGUAAAGCUCCGGCGCUUUGAGAGGGGCCUGCGGCCCAUCAGCUAGUUGGUAGGGUAACGGCCUACCAAGGCAGAGACGGGUAGGGGGCGUGAGAGCGUGACCCCCCACACUGGCACUGGGAUACGGGCCAG
rnacentral:rRNA from 1 species